UACGUAGGGUCCAAGCGCUAUCCGGAAUCACUGGGCGUAAAGAGUGCGUAGGUGGGUGUUUAAGUGCAAUGCGAAAUUCUGGGGCUCAACCCCAUGAAUGGUAUUGCAUACUGGAUACCUAGAGGAUAUGAGAGGCAAGUGGAAUUACCGGUGUAGCAGUGAAAUGCGUAGAUAUCGGUAGGAACACCAAUGGCGAAGGCAGCUUGCUGGCAUAUUUCUGACACUAAGGCACGAAAGCGUGGGGAGCGAACAGG
rnacentral:rRNA from 1 species